GGGGAAUAUUGGGCAAUGGGGGAAACCCUGACCCAGCAACGCCGCGUGAAGGACGAAGGCCUUCGGGUUGUAAACUUCUUUGAUCAGGGACGAAACAAAUGACGGUACCUGAGGAACAAGCCACGGCUAACUACGUGCCAGCAGCCGCGGUAAUACGUAGGUGGCAAGCGUUAUCCGGAUUUACUGGGUGUAAAGGGCGUGUAGGCGGUCUUGCAAGUCGGAAGUGAAAUUCCCGGGCUUAACCCGGGCGCUGCUCCCGAAACUGCGAGACCUGAGUACUGGAGAGGAUAGUGGAAUUCCUAGUGUAGCGGUAAAAUGCGUAGAUAUUAGGAGGAACACCAGUGGCGAAGGCGGCUAUCUGGACAGUAACUGACGCUGAGGCGCGAAAGCGUGGGGAGCAAACAG
rnacentral:rRNA from 1 species